CCUACGGGAGGCAGCAGUGAGGAAUAUUGGUCAAUGGACGCAAGUCUGAACCAGCCAUGCCGCGUGCAGGAAGACGGCUCUAUGAGUUGUAAACUGCUUUUGUACGAGGGUAAAUCCCGAUACGUGUAUCGGGUUGAAAGUAUCGUACGAAUAAGGAUCGGCUAACUCCGUGCCAGCAGCCGCGGUAAUACGGAGGAUUCAAGCGUUAUCCGGAUUUAUUGGGUUUAAAGGGUGCGUAGGCGGUUCGAUAAGUUAGAGGUGAAAGCCCGGGGCUCAACUCCGGCACUGCCUCUGAUACUGUCGGGCUAGAGUUUAGUUGCGGUAGGCGGAAUGUAUGGUGUAGCGGUGAAAUGCAUAGAGAUCAUACAGAACACUGAUUGCGAAGACAGCUUACCAAACUACGACUGACGUUGAGGCACGAAAGCGUGGGGAGCAAACAGGAUUAGAUACCCGAGUAGUC
rnacentral:rRNA from 1 species